rnacentral:rRNA from 1 species
AUACGUAGGGUGCAAGCGUUAAUCGGAAUUACUGGGCGUAAAGCGUGCGCAGGCGGUUUUGUAAGACAGAGGUGAAAUCCCCGGGCUCAACCUGGGAACUGCCUUUGUGACUGCAAGGCUAGAGUACGGCAGAGGGGGAUGGAAUUCCGCGUGUAGCAGUGAAAUGCGUAGAUAUGCGGAGGAACACCGAUGGCGAAGGCAAUCCCCUGGGCCUGUACUGACGCUCAUGCACGAAAGCGUGGGGAGCAAACAGGAUUAGAUACCCUGGUAGUCCACGCCCUAAACGAUGUCAACUGGUUGUUGGGUCUUCAUUGACUCAGUAACGAAGCUAACGCGUGAAGUUGACCGCCUGGGGAGUACGGCCGCAGGGUUGAAACUCAAAUGAACUGACGGGG